rnacentral:tRNA from 1 species
GCAUAGCUAGUUUAUUUAAGAACAUUUGAUUUGCAUUCAGAAAGAGGGGCUCCCGCUAUCCA